CCCUUAGAUGUUCUGGGCCGCACGCGCGCUACACUGACGAUGGCAACGAGUUUUUCCUUCGCCGAAAGGUGUGGGUAAUCUUUUGAAACAUCGUCGUGCAGGGGAUAGAUCAUUGCAAUUUUUGAUCUUGAACGAGGAAUUCCUAGUAAGCGCGAGUCAUCAGCUCGCGUUGAUUACGUCCCUGCCCUUUGUACACACCGCCCGUCGCUACUACCGAUUGAAUGGUUUAGUGAGGACUCCUGAUUGGCGCCGCCGCCCCGGCAACGGAGCAGCGGACUGCCGAAAAGUUGUUCAAACUUGAUCAUUUAGAGGAAGUAAAAGUCGUAACA
rnacentral:rRNA from 1 species